UACGGAGGUGGCAAGCGUUGCUCGGAAUCACUGGGCGUAAAGGGCGCGUAGGCGGGGAGGUAAGUCGGGUGUGAAAUCCCUCGGCCCAACCGAGGAACUGCGCCCGAGACUGCUUCUCUUGAGUCCCGGAGAGGAAGAUGGAAUUCCCGGUGUAGCGGUGAAAUGUGUAGAGAUCGGGAGGAACACCGGUGGCGAAGGCGGUCCUCUGGACGGGUGACUGACGCUGAGGCGCGAAAGCGUGGGGAGCAAACGGG
rnacentral:rRNA from 1 species